CAAGUGUUAAAAACAAGUGGUUGUGAUUUCAUUAGUAUUGAUCGAGUUGAGUAUUCCUUAAUCAUGGAUGGAAGGCAUGUUGUAAGGUCUCAGUUUCCAUUAAUGUUAUCAUGGGCUUGUACAAUACAUAAAGUGCAAGGUUUGUCUUUAAAUAAAGUUGUCAUUGAUUUAGGAGAAUCUGUGUUUGAACGUGGGAUGAGUUAUGUUGCUUUGAGUCGAGUUACAUCUUUGUCUGGAUUGUAUUUACUAAAAUUUUCUCCACAUGCUGUUCAGCCUCCAGCUGGUGUUUUGGAAGAGUAUGAAAGGCUAAGAAAUCUUCAUUGAUCAAUAAAGAUUGAUUCUCUAAUUUGCAAUUGGACUUGAUAUUAAAGAAAAAACUUAAACUUUUUAUCUGUGUUAUUACAAUAAUAGUGUGUUCAAUUUUAUUACUCCUAGAAUUUGAACAGCUUUAUGACAAAUAGUUUCCUAUAAACAACUUGUUAUAUAAAAUAAAUUCUCAACACAUGUAUCAGAGUUUUUUCUCAAGUUUGGGAAUGGUGUUGGUACUAGACUAAUUGGGAAAAAAUGCGUUAUUUUGAUUUAAAUUGGCAAAGAAAAAUUUAUGCAUUUUUCAGCUAAAAAUAAAAUUAGUUAUCAUCAAUAAAGAUAUCUAACAGCUUCCAUUGUCCAAGUAGAACUAUUGAGUGGUGAUUUAUAUGAAUAUGUUGAAUUUAAAUGAUUUCAGAGAAAUCACUUGGCCUUGUGGGAAUUUUGAUCAGCCAUUUUGGGAAUUAAAACAUAGAAGUUGGGAAUUUUCAGGUCUAUUUUCUAUUGGGAACAGUACUGUUUUAGGGUAGUAGUUAUAUACUGAAAAAAACACUGUAUAUAUCAUCAUUAAUUUUUAUCACUCAAAAAUGUUCAUAAUCUGACAUGCAGUUUUGGGCCAGUAUAUUACCUCACAAUUAAAGUCCUACAAUGUAAAUUUUCAUAACUGAAUAUAAUAUUAUUUUCUAUUUCCCUGAUUGUUUUUUUUUAAAAAGAAUGGUACUGGUCAUUUACAGUCACUAUAUCUGCUUUUUUUUUUAUAAAAAGUAUUUUCUAUUCAGUUAGUUUUUUGUUUUAUUCAAAUAUGUUAAAAACUUUCAUGUUUUUCAUUUUAUAAAAAAGGUGUUCUAACAUCUCACAAUAGAAGAUUUAAAUACUUUUGAUUUAAUAUGGAAAUGUGCAUCAUUGUUAAUUUGUAGCUGCUAAAAUUAAAUAAGAUGACACUUCAAUUUUACCAUUAUCGAUUGCCUUGAUUGUUCAGUAAAAAAAAAAACAUCAAAAACAAGAAAAACAACACCAUUUUUUAAUAAUUUACAAUUUUAGAAAAAUAGUGGGGCAUUUUUACUUGUAAUAACAUAUUAAAAGAUGUACUUCAGUUUUCUUAAUACAAAAAAAAACUUAUAAUGUUACAACAGCUAGUAUGUCAAAUCUAAAAUAUUGAACUUUACAUUUUUAGGCAUUUCAUUUUCAUUACCUUAAAAUGUAAACAAAAAAUAAUUAUACACAAAAAACUUAUUCACAUCCUUGAUGCAUUUUCCUGAAUUUCCUUUACCAGUCUGAUGAAAAGUGCACUGUGACCGGGAAAGUCCUAAAAAAGUCAAAAAAACUUCCUGACGUAUGAGGGCAAAAAUGGUAAAAUGACUUACUUUAACAUGGUUACUGGAAAUGCUGAUAAUAUCACAAUUAUAAGAUGCUACUUAAGGCACAAGUUCAACAUGAUCAGGGAAGGCUUGUCCUACAAGUUUUCCAAUGUUAUCCAAAAAACAGAUGGAUGUUGGGUUGUACAGACCAGCUCAGUAACAAUAGUUCCACCUGUAAAUUGUGCCAGUUCAAACAAUUCCUCCUUUACCAGAAGAUGUGCCUGCAACUGGUCAAAAAAGAAGUAUUUCAGAUGCAUUGACAUCUCCAGAAAAAAGCACAAUCUGUGCUAAGAUUGCAAAAGUUUCAGAUGUAACACUUAAAAGAGAUGGAACUCUACCAGUCAGGUGUCUUGGCUUAAUCGAUCACUCAGGCCGAACAAAAGUAGCUUUGUUCUCUCAACAAGCACAACAACAAUUUGUUGAAAACACAGUUGUGUCGAGAUAAGUGGUGUGUACAAAAAAACAUGGCAAGGUGAAGACCAACUAGUUACUUCUACUGUAACAAAAUGCCAGUUUGUUAGUGAUGAUGCAGUCAAAAGUAACGUAACGGAAGAAGAUGUGAAGUAUUUUGAAGGUCUCACUGAUUUUGGUGGCAGUGGUCACCAACAAGGAGAUACCAAAUUUACUGUCUCGGGAAUAGAAGAUGCAUCUAUUUAUCAUGGAUGUGAUUAUGAUGGUUGUCACAAGAAGAAAAUGGCAGACGGUGUCUGUCCCACAUGCAGUGGUACCACCAGUUUACUAACAUACAGAGUAAAAUUGGAGCUCAUGAAAGAAGAUGGGCAAAUCUUAUAUGGAGUAGUGUUUGAGAAAGACAUUGUCAAUCUCUUUGGUCAAAUAGAUGUAGCUGAAGACACAACACAUGUUGAUCUCAUGUCCACUCUAGUAUACAGACUACCUUGUCAGGUGAAGGGCAACAUCUUGAAUGGAAAGCUAUCAACCUCAGGAAAAUAGUUGAAUAGAACACUGUAAACCAUACUUAUUGCUAACAAUACAUUUUCAGUGUCAGUUGAAUUUCAGAACAAAUUAUACUUUUUCCUUUAUCUAAAGUAAUCUAAAAUUGAAGUUCAAAUGUUUAAUGAUCAUUGUUUAUUCAUAUAAAUUUGCUUAUUUUUGAGAAAUCUUACAUAAAUAGGCUAA